rnacentral:rRNA from 1 species
CGGAUUAAUUGGGAGGCAUUGCCUGCCCAGUGACAACUGUUUAACGGCCGCGGUAUCCUGACCGUGCAAAGGUAGCAUAAUCAUUUGUUCUCUAAAUAAGGACUUGUAUGAAUGGCCGCACGAGGGUUUUACUGUCUCUUACUUCCAAUCAGUGAAAUUGACCUUCCCGUGAAGAGGCGGGAAUGCACAAAUAAGACGAGAAGACCCUAUGGAGCUUUAACUAACCAACCCAAAGAGAAUAGAUUUAACCAUUAAGGAAUAACAACAAUCUCCAUGAGUUGGUAGUUUCGGUUGGGGUGACCUCGGAGAAUAAAAAAUCCUCCGAGCGAUUUUAAAGACUAGACCCACAAGUCAAAUCACUCUAUCGCUCAUUGAUCCAAAAACUUGAUCAACGGAACAAGUUACCCUAGGGAUAACAGCGCAAUCCUAUUCAAGAGUCCAUAUCGACAAUAGGGUUUACGACCUCGAUGUUGGAUCAGGACAUCCUGAUGGUGCAACCGCUAUCAAAGGUUCGUUUGUUCAACGAUUAAAGUCCUACGUGAUCUGAGUUCAGACCGGA